rnacentral:lncRNA from 1 species
CGGUCUACGCAUGCCCUUGGACAUGUAGGCACCAGGACUGGUAUAAAUACGCCACUCGAUUUGGUUCCAAGGACACAAAAAACACAAGCUUCCUUCAACCAUGGCUCUCAGCACCUGGGCUGCGUUCCUGUGCGUGACCCUGGCGACCGUCGCGUUCGCGGCGCAGGCCGUGCUCGCCGCCAGAGGUACCAACUGUUGCUUCUCUAUUUCAUUUGCUUAAUUGUCCAUUGGUGCUCACCGGUUCGGAAGAACAAUCUUUCAGUUCAAGUGUCUACUUCUUCUUCUCUUCUUUUAAGAAAUUUGUAUAAACUCAAUCUGAUGAGAUGUCCUGCCUGCCUGGGCGUGAACACCACUGCAGGUGAUUUAAGCACUGUGAAGCGAGACAGCACGACACCGUAUCGGAAUACCUACCAGGCACCUUCUUAUGCGGCGCCGACGGGGCCACUCCCAGGAUAUCCUCCUCCAAAGUAGUCUGGAGCCUCGGAGGCGAUCGACAAUUGGAGCACGGGAAUACAAGUGCAGCGAGUAUGAAUAAAUUAGUUGCGGAGUGUGUACUCAGUGUUGAUAUAUAAACAUAGUGAUGCACUGAUGCUCGAUUGUACAUCGUUCUAUUUACCUCUCCGAAUAAACGCCACCGAAUGACAUAUGCAUGUGUGCUUGGCGCCGUAGGUGCAUGCGCACAGGCCAGUCUGUCUGUAACAGACCCGAUCUAGUGAGGGAGUAGGAGAGGAUGAAUGGCAGGAAAGGGGAUCUGGGAGAAGGAGAGAGGAGGCCGAUAGAGAAGAACAGCUUCUCGAUCUGUUUUGAUGCUAGUUAAUUGAUAUCCCGCACUCACGCAGCCGUGAGACUUAAGUACAACGCGGCCGCAGCCCACCCACUCACACCUACUACUCUGCCAUCUCGGGUCCACCUGUAAGCGCCAUGCUUCCCUUCUUCUCGUCGUUCUUCUUUGCUUGUGGCCCCAUCUCGUCAGCGCCCUGUAGAGGCUGCGGGGUCGCCAUGUCAGUCGUGACACUGUCCUGGUCGUUAAGUCGCUUUAUGGGCAAAGUUGUUGUGUUAAAUAAAAAUGCAG